UGACAAGCCGCCCGAGGACAGGCUCCGAGCCUGGCCCGGACCCCAGCGUUGCCCCCCACUUCUCUUCCUUCUGUUCCCACCAGCGGUUUCCCGCCUCGCACCUCCACCUCUGGACUUGCCUUUCCUUCUCUCCGCGCGUGGAGGGAGCCAGCGCUUAGGCCGGAGUGAGCCAGGGGGCUGCCCGCCGUGAAGGCACGCGGGGACCGAUUCACCAUGGAGGGCGCCAGCGGCGCGAACCACAAGAACAAGAUAAGUUCUGAACGUCGAAAAGUCUCGAGAUGCAGCCAGAUCUCGCCGAAGAAUCUGAAGUUUUUUAUGAGCUUGCUCAUCAGUUGCCACGUCCACAUAAUGUGAGCUCACAUCUUGAUAAGGCUUCUGUUAUGGGAUUUACCAUCAGCUACCUGCGUGUGAGGAAACUGCUGGAUGCUGGUGAUUUGGAUAUUGAAGAUGAAAUGAAAGCACAAAUGAAUUGCUUUUAUUUGAAAGCCUUGGAUGGUUUUAUUAUGGUUCUCACAGAUGAGGGUGACAUGAUUUACAUUUCCGAUAAUGUGAGCAAAUACAUGGGAUUAACUCAGUUUGAACUCACUGGACACAGGGUGUUUGAUUUUACUCAUCCAUGUGACCAAGGGGAAAUGAGAGAAAUGCUUACACAGAAAUGGCCCUGUGAAAAAGGGUAAAGAACAAAACACACAGCGAAGCUUUUUUCUCAGAAUGAAGUGUACCUUAACUAGCCGAGGGAGAAGUAUGAACAUAAAGUCUGCAACAUGGAAGGUAUUACACUGCACAAGCCAUAUUCACGUAUUGAUACCAACAGUAACCAACCUCAGUGUGGGCGUAAGAAACCACCUAUGACCUGUUUGGUGCUGAUUUGUGAACCCAUUCCUCACCCAUCAAAUAUUGAAAUUCCUUUAGAUAGCAAGACUUCUCUCAGUCGACACAGCCUGGAUAUGAAAUUUUCUUAUUGUGAUGAAAGAAUUACCGAAUUGAUGGGAUAUGAGCCAGAAGAACUUUUAGGCCGCUCAAUUUACAAAUAUUAUCAUGCUUUAGACUCUGAUCAUCUGACCAAAACCCAUCAUGAUAUGUUUACUAAAGGACAAGUCACCACAGGACAGUACAGGAUGCUUGCCAAAAGAGGUGGAUAUGUCUGGGUUCAAACUCAAGCCACUGUCAUAUAUAACACCAAGAACUCUCAACCACAGUGCAUUGUGUGUGUAAAUUAUGUUGUGAGUGGUAUUAUUCAGCACAACUUGAUUUUCUCCCUUCAACAAACAGAAUGUGUCCUUAAACUGGUUGAAUCUUCAGAUAUGAAAAUGACUCAGCUGCUCACCAAAGUUGAAUCAGAAGAUACAAGUAGCCUCUUUGAUAAGCUUAAGAAGGAACCUGAUGCUUUAACUUUGCUGGCCCCGGCUGCUGGAGACACAAUCAUAUCUUUAGAUUUUGGCAGCAAUGACACAGAAACUGAUGACCAGCAACUUGAGGAAGUACCAUUGUAUAAUGAUGUAAUGCUCCCCUCAUGCAAUGAAAAAUUACAGAAUAUCAAUUUGUCAAUGUCUCCAUUAGACACCUCUGAAACUCCAAAGCCACUUCAAAGUAGUGCUGACCCUGCACUGAAUCAAGAAGUUGCAUUAAAAUUAGAACCAAAUCCAGAGUCACUGGAACUUUCUUUUACCAUGCCCCAGAUUCAGGAUCAGCCACCCAGUCCUUCUGAUGGAAGCAUAAGACAAAGUUCACCUGAGCCUAACAGUCCCAGUGAAUAUUGUUUUUAUGUGGAUAGUGAUACGGUCAAUGAAUUCAAGUUGGAAUUGGUAGAAAAACUUUUUGCUGAAGACACGGAAGCGAAGAACCCAUUUUGUACUCAGGACACCGAUUUAGACUUGGAGAUGUUAGCUCCCUAUAUCCCAAUGGAUGCUGACUUUCAGUUAAGCUCCUUUGAUCAGUUGUUACUGUUAGAAAGCAGUUCUGCAAGCCCUGAAAGCGCAAGCCCUCAAAGCACCGUUACAGUAUUCCAGCAGACUCAGAUACAAGAACUUACUGCUAAUGCCACCACUACCACUACUGAUGAAUUAAAAACAGGGACAAAAGACCGUAUGGAAGACAUUAAAAUAUUGAUUCCAUCUCCAUCUCCUACCCACAUACAUAAAGAAACUACUAGUGCCACAUCAUCGCCAUAUAGAGAUACUCAAAGUCCGACAGCCUCACCAAACAGAGCAGGAAAAGGGGUCAUAGAACAGACAGAAAAGUCUCAUCCAAGAAGCCCUAACGUGUUAUCUGUUGCUUUGAGUCAGAGAACUACAGUUCCUGAGGAAGAACUAAAUCCAAAGAUACUAGCUUUGCAGAAUGCUCAGAGAAAGCGAAACAUUGAACAUGAUGGUUCGCUUUUUCAAGCAGUAGGAAUUGGAACAUUAUCAGCAGCCAGAUGAUCAUGCAACUACUACAUCACUUUCCUGGAAACGUGUAAAAGGAUGCAAAUCUAGUGAACAGAAUGGAAUGGAGCAAAAGACAAUUAUUUUAAUAUCCUCUGAUUUAGCAUGUAGACUGCUGGGGAAAUCAAUGGAUGAAAGUGGAUUACCACAGCUGACCAGUUAUGAUUGUGAAGUUAAUGCUCCUAUACAAGGCAGCAGAAACCUACUGCAGGGCGAAGAAUUACUCAGAGCUUUGGAUCAAGUUAACUGAGCUUUUUCAUAAUUUCAUUCCUUUUUUUGGACACUGGUGGCUCAUUACCUAAAGCAGUCUAUUUAUAUUUUCUACAUCUAAUUUUAGAAGCCUGGCUAUAAUACUGCACAAACUUGGUUAGUUCAAUUUUGAUUCCCUUUCAACUUAAUUUACAUUAAUACUCUUUUUUAGUGUGUUCUUUAAUGCUGGAUCACAGACAGCUCAUUUUCUCAGUUUUUUGGUAUUUAAACCAUUGCAUUGCAGUAGCAUCAUUUUUAAAAAUGCACCUUUUUAUUUAUUUAUUUUUGGCUAGGGAGUUUAUCCCUUUUUUGAAUUAUUUUAAUAAGAUGCCAAUAUAAUUUUUGUAAGAAGGCAGUAAGCUUUCAUCAUGAUCAUAGGCAGUGAAAAAAUUUUUACAUCUUUUUUUCACAUUUUACAUAAACAAAAAUGCUGGCAACAAAUUGCCAGCAGUAAGUGGUAGCCACAAUUGCACAAUAUAUUUUCUUAAAAAAUACCAGCAGUUACUCAUGGAAUAUAUUCUGUGUUUAUAAAACUAGUUUUUAAGAAGAAAUUUUUUUUUGGCCUAUGAAAUUGUUAAACCUGGAACAUGACAUUGUUAAUCAUAUAAUAAUGAUUCUUAAAUGCUGUAUGGUUUAUUAUUUAAAUGGGUAAAGCCAUUUACAUGAUAUAGAAAGAUAUGCAUAUAUCUAGAAGGUAUGUGGCAUUUAUUUGGGUAAAAUUCUCAAUUCAGAAAAAUCAUCUGAUGUUUCUAUAGUCACUUUGCCAGCUCAAAAGAAAACAAUACCCUAUGUAGUUGUGGAAGUUUAUGCUAAUAUUGUGUAACUGAUAUUAAACCUAAAUGUUCUGCCUACCCUGUUGAUAUAAAGAUAUUUUGAGCAGACUGUAAACAAGAAAAAAAAAUCAUACAUUCUUAGCAAAAUUGCCUCGUAUGUUAAUUUGCUCAAAAUACAAUGUUUGAUUUUAUGCACUUUGUCGCUAUUAACAUCCUUCUUUUUUCAUGUAGAUUUCAAUAAUUGAGUAAUUUUAGAAGCAUUAUUUUAGGAAUAUAUAGUUGUCACCAUAAAUAUCUUGUUUUUUCUAUGUACAUUGUACAAAUUUUUCAUUCCCUUUGCUCUUUGUGGUUGGAGUUAACACUAACUGUAUUGUUUUGUUACAUCAAAUAAACAUCUUCUGUGGACCAGGAAAAAAAAAAA